rnacentral:lncRNA from 1 species
UCCAGCAGCUGACAGUGAAGCACUCAUCCUAAUCACACACGUACAUCUCUGAGACAGCUAAUGUCUGCAUUUACACGUGCAAGAUGUGUUUUUAAGAGUGCUUGUUCAUCUGCAGUACGUCUCUAAGAUGUUUCCUGUCAGAUUUCAAUCAGACAUUUAUUAGAACGCAUGUAAAACUGCUUCUGAGACCUUUAUCAGAGUACACAUAGAUGAUUCCCAGAUCUUUAGCAGACGUCUUACAGGUAUGAUAAUAUACUUUUCUACUAGUGGUCAUUUAAUAUAUUUUUUUAUUUUUAAAUAAGUGUUUGCUUUCCUACAUUAUGAAACUUUUAGUUUUAUACAUGGGGAAACCUAUGAAGGAUGAACAAAUAUCGUCACAUUAAAAAUAACUUUCAAAAUUCGGUGAUACUUAAAGCAUCGAAGUGCUGGGAAAAGUUGUGUGAAGCAUUUAAAAUCACUCGAAAACAUUAGAGCACUACUACACUGAUUCUAACUUUGAUUAGAAUCAGUGUAUACUGAAUUCAUACAGUAAAGUCUACUGAAGUUUACUGAAAAUCCUGCUUAUUUAACAUUUAAAUCAGAUGUUCACUGUCAUUCCUGUCAUGUGUUUUAUUUUAUUUUUAAUAUUAAUAUUAAUUUCUAUUUCUGUUUGUCCUCAGGAUCACAGCUUGAUUGUGUUCCUGAUCUAACAUUACCACAUUACCAGGACUCUGAUCGGGAAAUAGCCCAAGACGACCCUACAAGUCCUUCAGAGGCAGAAAUAGUCUUGAAAGGUGUUGAGGUUCUGUCAGGAUUGUCCAGUGUUGCAAUGCAUGUGUUGAUCUAUUGCAGAAUUUUACUGUAUCUGCACCCCUCUAAUUAUGUGGUGUAACAGUCAUUGACUAGCUAAAGGAUUCCUGUUUCCGAAAAGGAGGUUUCUGUAACAGUGUUUUGAAGUGAUCUCACUAGUGUUCUCUAGGCAGUGAAGUAGUGUGUGUAUUUGGCAGGUUUGUGUAGAGGCAGAAAUAGUCUUGAAAGGUGUUGAGGUUCUGUCAGGAUUGUCCAGUGUUGCAAUGCAUGUGUUGAUCUAUUGCAGAAUUUUACUGUAUCUGCACCCCUCUAAUUAUGUGGUGUAACAGUCAUUGACUAGCUAAAGGAUUCCUGUUUCCGAAAAGGAGGUUUCUGUAACAGUGUUUUGAAGUGAUCUCACUAGUGUUCUCUAGGCAGUGAAGUAGUGUGUGUAUUUGGCAGGUUUGUGUAUUAUGUUUAAUGAAUUGUGUGUUAACAAUCGAGAAAAACUGUAAUGCAUUUUUAAUGCCACACACUUAAAAAAUCUGUGCAAUCUGUGUUAUAUGAAGCGAUAGGAACACUUUUUGUAAGCGAAGGAAAAAAAAAGACUUUAUUCAACAAUUCCUUUGUCAACAGUCUCCUCUGUGUCUCUCCAUAUCACCGUAUGCUGUGUAUGCUCUUCUGUGUCAUCCGCACCACAAGGAUGCGCUGUUUCUACGUGUAUUUAGCUUUGAUUUGAAAGAAAACAGCGCAUCCUUGUGGUGCGGAUGACACAGAAGAGCAUACACAGCAUACGGUGAUAUGGAAACAUUUUGUAAAAUUCAAUAAAAUCAAGAUCUUAUAAUAAAGUCUUAAUUCAAUUUAAUCUUUAUUUGAUUGGGAAAAGUGCAAAAGAAAAAAUGUUCAAUGUUUUCACUGACCAAAUAAACUGUAACCUGUAAAAAUAAGCAAAUUGGGACAGAGGCACGUUUAACUGUGUCACAUCAACUUUCCUUUUCAUUACAAUGUUUAAUUGUGAAUAGAGGAUAUUGUUAAAGUUUUGCAAGUUUUGCAAAAAUAUUUGCCCAAUCUGGCUUUAUACAAGACUUCAGAAGCUCAUCAGUCUGUGGUCAUCAUUGCCUGACUGUCCUUUUCAUGACUGGUCAUACAUGUUCAAUAGGAGACAGGUCUGGACUGAUCUCUGUGUCUACGAAACCAUGCUGUUGUAGCACAUGCAGAAUGAGAGCUGGCGUUGUCUUGAUCUAAUAACCAUGGACUUCCCAUGAAAGACAUCAUAUUGAUGGCUCUGUAAUCAUCUCUACAAUGCCAUUAUAAAGCCUCCAUGUCAGUGGUCCCCUCACACAUGCUGUUUUGAGCAGAGUAGAGUAGAGCUUGUUGUUUGUUGCUUCUCCGAUCACAAAUGCAGACAUGGUUUUAUGUUUACAUGGUGCGAUACACAACACAACACAUAAAAACACAGUAUAAGUCAUUAUAAUCAGUAAUUAUGUCUCCACUAGAUGCAACAAAUGCCUCGUUUGUAAUGGGUUUUAUUGGUUUUGUCUCAUCGUGCCAGGAGACGGCAUCACAGUGAGGGGCGUAACAUUUCCGUCACACGCUUGAGAUAUUCGGCCAAUCACAAAGCACUGGAUAGCUGGCCAAUCAGAGCACACCUCGCUUUUUGAUGAGCUUUGUAAAAAAUGAUGUGUUUCAGAAGGCGGGGCAUAGAGGAGAAACAAUAAUGUACAGUAUGUGGAAAAUAAUGUGUUUUUUUAACCUUAAACCGCAGAAACACAUUUAAUUACACCAAAAACACAAAAUAAUGUUCUUUUUAGCAACAUCAUAUGACCCUUUUAAGGAAGAACCCACAAAUAUAGGAAACAAGGAGGACCAUCAAAUCAAGAUGUACUUUUGAUUGAAGAGAGCGCUCACAGAGGGGUACAACCAACAUCUCCAAGCAAAGAUAAUAUAUUUGUUAUUCAGUGAUGAAACAUUCAUC